AUUGAACGCUGGCGGCAGGCUUAACACAUGCAAGUCGAGCGAGCGGCGGACGGGUGAGUAAUGUCUGGGAAACUGCCUGAUGGAGGGGGAUAACUACUGGAAACGGUAGCUAAUACCGCAUACCAUCAGAUGUGCCCAGAUGGGAUUAGAUAGUUGGUGGGGUAAGGGCUCACCAAGCCGACGAUCGCUAGCUGGUCUGAGAGGAUGACCAGCAAUACUGGGACGGAGACACUGUCCAGACGCCUACGGGAGGCAUCAGUGGGGAAUUAUGCGCAAUGGGGGCAAACCUGACGCAGCCAUGCCGCGUGAAUGAAGAAGGCCUUCGGGUUGUAAAGCACUUUCAGCAAGGAGGCGUUACCUCCAGAAGAAGCACCGGCUAACUCCGUGCCAGCAGCCGCGGUAAUAC
rnacentral:rRNA from 1 species